rnacentral:rRNA from 11 species
CCAAGCAUAAAUAUCCUAAAGACACCAGAUCCAGAUUGAUCCUGGAAGCUAAGCAGGGUCAGUCCUAGUUAGUACCUGAAUGGGACACCACCAAAGAAUAUUACAGUAUUUCAGAGGA